rnacentral:rRNA from 1 species
UGCUGAGCUGUGAUGGGGAAGCUCCUUAUGGAGCGAAGUCUUUGAUUCCCCGCUGCCAAGAAAAGCUUCUAGCGAGAUAAAAGGUGCCUGUACCGCAAACCGACACAGGUAGGCGAGGAGAGAAUCCUAAGGUGUGCGAGAGAACUCUGGUUAAGGAACUCGGCAAAAUGACCCCGUAACUUCGGGAGAAGGGGUGCUUUCUUAACGGAAAGCCGCAGUGAAUAGGCCCAAGCGACUGUUUAGCAAAAACACAGCUCUCUGCGAAGCCGUAAGGCGAAGUAUAGGGGGUGACACCUGCCCGGUGCUGGAAGGUUAAGGAGAGGGGUUAGCGUAAGCGAAGCUCUGAACUGAAGCCCCAGUAAACGGCGGCCGUAACUAUAACGGUCCUAAGGUAGCGAAAUUCCUUGUCGGGUAAGUUCCGACCCGCACGAAAGGUGUAACGAUUUGGGCACUGUCUCAACCAGAGACUCGGUGAAAUUAUAGUACCUGUGAAGAUGCAGGUUACCCGCGACAGGACGGAAAGACCCCGUGGAGCUUUACUGUAGCCUGAUAUUGAAUUUUGGUACAGUUUGUACAGGAUAGGCGGGAGCCAUUGAAACCGGAGCGCUAGCUUCGGUGGAGGCGCUGGUGGGAUACCGCCCUGACUGUAUUGAAAUUCUAACCUACGGGUCUUAUCGACCCGGGAGACAGUGUCAGGUGGGCAGUUUGACUGGGGCGGUCGCCUCCUAAAGUGUAACGGAGGCGCCCAAAGGUUCCCUCAGAAUGGUUGGAAAUCAUUCGUAGAGUGCAAAGGCAUAAGGGAGCUUGACUGCGAGACCUACAAGUCGAGCAGGGACGAAAGUCGGGCUUAGUGAUCCGGUGGUUCCGCAUGGAAGGGCCAUCGCUCAACGGAUAAAAGCUACCCCGGGGAUAACAGGCUUAUCUCCCCCAAGAGUCCACAUCGACGGGGAGGUUUGGCACCUCGAUGUCGGCUCAUCGCAUCCUGGGGCUGUAGUCGGUCCCAAGGGUUGGGCUGUUCGCCCAUUAAAGCGGUACGCGAGCUGGGUUCAGAACGUCGUGAGACAGUUCGGUCCCUAUCCGUCGUGGGCGUAGGAAAUUUGAGAGGAGCUGUCCUUAGUACGAGAGGACCGGGAUGGACGCACCGCUGGUGUACCAGUUGUUCUGCCAAGGGCAUAGCUGGGUAGCUAUGUGCGGAAGGGAUAAGUGCUGAAAGCAUCUAAGCAUGAAGCCCCCCUCAAGAUGAGAUUUCCCAUAGCGUAAGCUAGUAAGAUCCCUGAAAGAUGAUCAGGUUGAUAGGUUCGAGGUGGAAGCAUGGUGACAUGUGGAGCUGACGAAUACUAAUAGAUCGAGGACUUAACCAU